AGUGACUUAGCAAGGUACUGUUUCAUCAUGGGCCUCCAGAGCAGAUUCAGUGCUCCUUGUCACUGAUUCAAAAAGUCCCUGAACUCUACUUGAGGGAUAAAUAGCAUUCCUCCAAAAGAUAUUCCUUCAUCAGGUGUUUUGAUGAUGGUGAACAGCUCUGUCUAACAUACUGCUCCAAAAUCACUGGCCAAAGAGUCUCCUACCAGUUGGAUGUGUCCAGAAGACCUCCAGUGGAAGGCACCCAGGAGGCAUCCUAAUCAAAAGCCUGAACCGCCUCAACUGUCUCCUUUCAACGCGAAGGAGCAGUGCUCUACUCCGAGCUCUACUCUAAGGUCAUGGUCUGAUGAAGCCAACAGAACCACGUCAUCUGCAAACAGCAGAGAUGCAACUCUGAAGCCCCCAAACCGGACAUUCUCUUCCCCCCACUUGUGCCUUGAAAUCCUGUCCACGAAGAAUGCAGGACUGAUGAAAAGGCACAACCUUGGCAGAGGCCAACACCCACCAAAAAUGUGUUUGACCUCCUGCCAAAAAUACGUACAGAACUCUCACUCUGGUUAUAUAGGGACCGAAUCACUUGUAGCAACGGUCCUGGAACUCCAUAUUCCCACAGUACCCCCCAUAAGUUCCCCCGAGGGAACCGGUCAUAGGCCUUCCCCAAGUCAACAGAGCACACACGUGUGUGGGACAAACCUGUGUCCACUCGCAGGUUCCCGGGUUGCUGCAACACAACACAGCUCCCAGGAUCACUGAGACACAUAAACCCCUCCACCAUGUUACGCUGGCGAUCCUCAGAGGAGUUAACAAAAAUGUUCAUAUCAAACAUAUUAGCAAUACCCUCAUUGUGGAGAUUUUUUUCAUUUGUUUUCCCUACAAUAUCCGCUGCUGGUAAUUGAAGCAUAAUUAAAG